rnacentral:misc_RNA from 1 species
UUAAGUUCAGCGGGUAGUCCUGCCUGAUUUGAGAUCAAACGUUCAAAGAGCUGUCCCUCACAGAGGAGAGACACCUUUAUGAGCUCCAGCGAACCUCCAUCACUGAAGGUUAUCUGAUGUAAAACCACAAGCGUAGAUAGUUAUCACACCUGUGAUGCCACCAAACACUGGCAAGCUGAUUCAUUUAAGGGGAGCUGACU